AAUCAAUAGAGAAGAGCAGAACACUGGUAGAUUUAUGGCUUUGAUUUUGAAAAGGCAUGGGAAUGCCCUGUGAUGUUUCCCCCGUAUUCCUUUUGAAUGUUAAUGCUUUCUUGAAGAUGAUUUCAGACGCACUGCUAGGAUACUGCCUCUACUCAGUGAAGCAGAAUCCUCUGAAGAGUUGCUGAGGCAGAACUGAAAGCAUGGCUCUCCUCAAAGACACAGCCUUACUGGCCGUUAAUGCCUCACACAGAAAGACGAUGCUCCGUUAACUCAGAGUUUUAAUGGGAAGGUUCUAAGCCCGAAAACAACGGCUUUAGUUUGGGGUGUGCCAUCCAGCUUCUUGCAGCUACCACUGUCUUCUUUCACAAAGCUUGGUCCAGAAGAAUGGAAACUAAAGAGGCUUGUAACUACCUGUAACUGUUUCGUCAGGAAAUGGAUCAAGCGUUUUUUUCAGCCAGAUCCAGGAUCCACAACAACUCAACAACUCAUAAUGAUAGCACUGACUGUCCCCGGGUCAUGAGCAGUGUGCAGCACCGGCCUUUUAAGCUUGCAGCCUCUGAAGGAUCAAAAUCAAAACUGCUUGAGCAAGUUUCCUGGCUGGAG
rnacentral:lncRNA from 1 species